rnacentral:tRNA from 1 species
GAAUAGCUCAGUUGGUAGAGCAUGGGACUCUUAAUCUCAGGGUAGUGGGUUCGAGUCUCACAUGGGGCA